rnacentral:sRNA from 2 species
AGCAGCUAGUGAUAAUGAUGGUAAUGGGAAACGUACAAAAUCAGAACAUGUACCCAGGGUGUCUAAUCCAAGCUCAAAGUUGGUCUCUGACCGAAGGGCGCUGGUUCCGAAGUGGAAUCUACCAACGGAGGUGAAUGUGGAUGAUGGUGAUGAUGAUACGUCGGCGGCGGAUUUUGGGAUGGAAACAUAUUACAAUGUUCUCUGGCGGAAACCUACUGCCAAAAAGCAUAAAACGUGGGAUGGUGAUGGAAUCCUAACUGUCAGUGGUGGUUAUGCGUCUCUGCAGGACAUAUCUGGGCGGGAUUUUGGGAGAAUCAUGUUCAAUUCUCCUCUCCUGCCCGGUUCGACAUUAUCGGUUGGCGGAAAAGAGGUUGAAGUUGACUCUGUCUUGUCGAAGAAGGAGUUCCUCUCUGGUCGGCCACUUUUAGGUGCUGCCAAACCCUCACUUGCGACCAUACCUAUCGACAAACCCAAUGAAAAUGCCGGUGAUCCAGUUCGUGUGUCCCGCAUUUCAUCUGCUAUAUCGACGAAUGGCACCAUUAGACUUCCCCCUAAAGCCAAAAUCACACGAGAGAACAGAGACAACGAAGGAGAAAAGAGACUCCUUAACAUAGCUGCGCCUAGAAGCUUUGCGGCGAAGAGUGUCUUCAAAAAUCCUCUCAAAGAUAGCACUGUACUAGUGCAGAAGCCUGAUGGCAGUCCCAUUCCACGACAUGAUCCCACGGCUCCUGGCGCGGUCAUCAUGAAACGGCCAA